rnacentral:rRNA from 1 species
GGGUUGUGAGGUUAAGCGACUAAGCGUACACGGUGGAUGCCCUGGCAGUCAGAGGCGAUGAAGGGCGUACUAAUCUGCGAUAAGCGCCGGUAAGGUGAUAUGAACCGUUAUAACCGGCGAUACCCGAAUGGGGAAACCCAGUGUGAUUCGUCACACUAUCAUUAACUGAAUCCAUAGGUUAAUGAGGCGAACCGGGGGAACUGAAACAUCUAAGUACCCCGAGGAAAAGAAAUCAACCGAGAUUCCCCCAGUAGCGGCGAGCGAACGGGGAGGAGCCCAGAGCCUGAAUCAGCAUGUGUGUUAGUGGAAGCGUCUGGAAAGGCGCGCGAUACAGGGUGACAGCCCCGUACACAAAAGCGCAUGUGCUGUGAGCUCGAUGAGUAGGGCGGGACACGUGGUAUCCUGUCUGAAUAUGGGGGGACCAUCCUCCAAGGCUAAAUACUCCUGACUGACCGAUAGUGAACCAGUACCGUGAGGGAAAGGCGAAAAGAACCCCGGCGAGGGGAGUGAAAAAGAACCUGAAACCGUGUACGUACAAGCAGUGGGAGCACAGGUUUACCUGUGUGACUGCGUACCUUUUGUAUAAUG